rnacentral:rRNA from 1 species
UCGCCCGUUCGGGGAGCCGUGGUGAACGAGGUGCUGCACGGCUGUCGUCAGCUCGUGUCGUGAGAUGUUGGGUUAAGUCCCACAACGAGCGCAACCCUCGUCGCUAGUUAAUUUCCCUAGCGAGACCGCCUCGCAAAACGAGGAGGAAGGUGGGGAUGGCGUCAAGUCAGCAUGGCCUUUAUACCCUGGGCGACACACACGCUACAAUGGGUGGUACAGUAGGUAGCGAAGGAGCGAUCCGGAGCAAAUCUUUAAAACCAUCCUCAGUACGGAUUGCAGGCUGAAACCCGCCUGCAUGAAGCCGGAGUUGCUAGUAACCGCAUAUCAGAAUGGUGCGGUGAAUACGUUCUCGGGCCUU